AGAUUUGUUUGUGGUUUUGCUAGGCAUAGCUAGGCUGGUGAGCUCAAGUUCAGGACAAUUCUGGUCUUUGUAAAAAUCAGACUACUAAUGCCCUAUGUCUUUAGAAGUGUGUAUCAUGAAUUUCAUGUUCAAUAAAUGUUACUUUUUGCUGAUAUAACAUGCCAAAUGGACAAAAUCCCCCCCACCACAAGCAUGACUGUUGAGGCUAAGCUAUUAGAGCCAAUUAUGCGGCUAUAUAGAGAGGCAAACAAUGGCGUUAUUUUUUUGUUUUUGUGUUCAUUUAAAAUAAAAAUAAAAAUUGACAUGAAUUUAACAGUUAAAAGGCAAUAUUAGGGUUUUAUCUGCACAAAGCCUCAAACCGCGACUCUCUUAUUUAAGAUUUUGAAUUUCUUGAAGAGGAAUAGACUUUUGGAGUUUUAGUGUCGCUUGUUUUAUGAAUUAUUGAGUCAUUCUAGUUCUAGACUUUUAGUAUCUACUAUCUACUAUCUACUUUGUUUUUGAAUUGAAUAUUCGUUAAUACAUUAUUAUUGAGAUUUUGGUUAUUUAUAGAUGCAAUUAAAUAUUUUAAUUUUUUGGUAUUAAUUGGCGCCUCACUUAAGAAAGGCAAGUGCUGGCUGCGAGGCGAGGUCUCCCUUGUCGACUUUCGUCGUCCAGAACACUGGUGGAUCUGCUAGGGAGGGUAACAGAUUAGCUAAAAUGGGCAGCUGAUUUGGUGAAACUGAAGACAUUUUCUUUUCGAUUCCCUGUCUAUCUGUACUAGAUGGAAGACGUUUUGCUUUUCGAUUCCCCUAUCUCUCUGUAUUAGAUGGAAGAACCCGUGCCAGCGCGGGCCCAAUAAUCUAAGUGAAAAACAUAUAUUGGCUUUAUGAUAAAUAUUCAUAAUGUUUUAA